AGUGAAGGUACAAGUAGAAGAUGAUAGAAUCUUAAAGAUUAGUGGGGAGAAAAAAAUAGUAGAAAAAGAAUAUGACAAUUGGCAUCAUUUUCAGAAAAAAGUUGGCAAGUUUUCAACUGUUUUUAAUUUGCCUGAGGAUGCUGGGGUUGAUAAAGUGAUAUCAACAAUGGAGAAGGAAGUGCUUAUUGUCACUAUUCCUAAGA
rnacentral:misc_RNA from 1 species